rnacentral:rRNA from 1 species
UGGCGACCGGCGCACGGGUGAGUAACGCGUAUGCAAUCUGCCUGUAACAGGGGGAUAACCCGGAGAAAUCCGGCCUAAUACCCCAUAAGGAUGUCUGUCCGCAUGGGCGGUCAUCUAAAGGUUUUCCGGUUACAGAUGGGCAUGCGUUCCAUUAGCUGGUUGGCGGGGUAACGGCCCACCAAGGCGACGAUGGAUAGGGGUUCUGAGAGGAAGGUCCCCCACACUGGUACUGAGACACGGACCAGACUCC